AUUGAACGCUGGCGGCAGGCUUAACACAUGCAAGUCGAACGGUAACAUAAAGAAGCUUGCUUCUUUGAUGACGAGUGGCGGACGGGUGAGUAAUGCUUGGGAAUCUAGCUUAUGGAGGGGGAUAACUACGGGAAACUGUAGCUAAUACCGCGUAGAAUCGAGAGAUGAAAGUGUGGGACCUUCGGGCCACAUGCCAUAGGAUGAGCCCAAGUGGGAUUAGGUAGUUGGUGAGGUAAAGGCUCACCAAGCCGACGAUCUCUAGCUGGUCUGAGAGGAUGACCAGCCACACUGGGACUGAGACACGGCCCAGACUCCUACGGGAGGCAGCAGUGGGGAAUAUUGCGCAAUGGGGGCAACCCUGACGCAGCCAUGCCGCGUGAAUGAAGAAGGCCUUCGGGUUGUAAAGUUCUUUCGGUAGCGAGGAAGGCAUUUAGUUUAAUAGACUAGGUG
rnacentral:rRNA from 1 species